AACGAACGCUGGCGGCAUGCCUAACACAUGCAAGUCGAACGAGACCUUCGGGUCUAGUGGCGCACGGGUGCGUAACGCGUGGGAACCUGCCCUUAGGUUCGGAAUAACUCCCCGAAAGGGGUGCUAAUACCGGAUAAUGUCUUCGGACCAAGAUUUAUCGCCUUUGGAUGGGCCCGCGUUGGAUUAGCUAGUUGGUAGGGUAAAAGCCUACCAAGGCGACGAUCCAUAGCUGGUCUGAGAGGAUGAUCAGCCACACUGGGACUGAGACGCGGCCCAGACUCCUACGGGAGGCAGCAGUGGGGAAUAUUGGACAAUGGGCGAAAGCCUGAUCCAGCAAUGCCGCGUGAGUGAUGAAGGCCUUAGGGUUGUAAAGCUCUUUUACCCGGGAUGAUAAUGACAGUACCGGGAGAAUAAGCUCCGGCUAACUCCGUG
rnacentral:rRNA from 1 species